UACCCCUAGAAAAGCCGCCUAUACAUACACACCCACGUCAAGACUCACUCAUCUGCAGAGUUUCUUUCAAGGGCUUCUUCGUUGGCAGGAAAAAUAACACGUCUUCUCGGUAUUUCUUUGUCUAUAUUCUUGGAAAAAGCGAUGAGGUCUCGUUGCACUUUCCCAAAUGUAGACAAAGCAAAACCGUGAUGACGUCAAAGAGGAUCUUGUUGAUGUGUUUGUGUGUUAAUAUUGACUGAUCAAGAGCAUGGAUCAAUAGACAUGAGGACUGAUCAAGAGUGUGGAUCAAGAGACAACUGCAAUACAUGUCAAAAAAGCGUUAAAGUGUGUAGCAUUGGGAGGUCACGGAGAGCUCACAGUCACAGACUUGUCUUAAUUUUCUUGUCUGGUUCACAUGUUCUUUACUGUUUGUCUUGGUCUUGUAUUCUUCUGCAAAGAAAGGUCACAGACUUGUAUAGGGUUUGUCAGUUUGUAUGCAUCAGU